rnacentral:tRNA from 1 species
GGAAACUAACUAAACUUGUAGAAGUUAUAGACUGAGAUACUGUGGACGCGGGUUCGAUUCCCGCCAUCUCCACCA